rnacentral:tRNA from 1 species
GGGCAGAUACCCUAGUGGACAAAGGGGGCUGACUGUAAAUCAGCUGGCAACGCCUUCGGUGGUUCGAAUCCGCCUCUGCCCA